GCAGGGUGCAAGCGUUAAUCGGAAUUACUGGGCGUAAAGCGUGCGCAGGCGGCUUUGCAAGACAGAUGUGAAAUCCCCGGGCUCAACCUGGGAACUGCAUUUGUGACUGCAUGGCUAGAGUACGGUAGAGGGGGAUGGAAUUCCGCGUGUAGCAGUGAAGUGCGUAGAUAUGCGGAGGAACACCGAUGGCGAAGGCAAUCCCCUGGACCUGUACUGACGCUCAUGCACGAAAGCGUGGGGAGCAAACAGGAUUAGAUACCCUGGUAGUCCACGCCCUAAACGAUGUCAACUGGUUGUUGGACGGCUUGCUGUUCAGUAACGAAGCUAACGCGUGAAGUUGACCGCCUGGGGAGUACGGCCGCAAGGUUG
rnacentral:rRNA from 1 species